AGAUUGAACGCUGGCGGCAGGCCUAACNCAAUGCAAGUCGAGGGGUAGAGGAAGCUUGCUUCCUUGAGACCGGCGCACGGGUGCGUAACGCGUAUGCAGUCUACCUUAUACAGGGGAAUAGCCAGAGAAUUUGGAUUAAUGCCCCAUAGUGUUAUUGAAUCGCAUGGUUUAGUAACUAAAGUUCCAACGGUAUAAGAUGAGCAUGCGUCCCAUUAGUUAGUUGGUAAGGUAACGGCUUACCAAGACGAUGAUGGGUAGGGGUCCUGAGAGGGAGAUCCCCCACACUGGUACUGAGACACGGACCAGACUCCUACGGGAGGCAGCAGUGGGGAAUUUUGGACAAUGGGCGCAAGCCUGAUCCAGCAAUGCCGCGUGCAGGAUGAAGGCCUUCGGGUUGUAAACUGCUUUGUACGGAACGAAACGGUGAGCUCUAAUACAGUUUGCUAAUGACGGUACCGUAAGAAUAAGCACCGGCUAACUCCGUG
rnacentral:rRNA from 1 species